GACGAACGCUGGCGGCGUGCUUAACACAUGCAAGUCGAACGGAAAGGCCCAGCUUUCGUGGGGUGCUAGUGUGGAGAACGGGUGUGUAACACGUGAGUAACCUGCUCUAGACUUUGGGAUAACUUCAGGAAACUGGGGCUUAUACCGGAUAGGAGUUCCUGCCGCGUGGUGGGGGUUGGAAAGUUUCGGCGGUUGGGGAUGGACUCGCGGCUUAUCAGCUUGUUGGUGGGGUAGUGGCUUACCAAGGCCUUGACGGGUAGCCGGCCUGAGAGGGUGACCGGCCACACUGGGACUGAGAUACGGCCCAGACUCCUACGGGAGGCAGCAGUGGGGAAUAUUGCACAAUGGGCGGAAGCCUGAUGCAGCGACGCCGCGUGCGGGAUGACGGCCUUCGGGUUGUAAACCGCUUUCGCCAGUGACGAAGCGUGAGUGACGGUAAUUGGUAAAGAAGCACCGGCUAACUACGUG
rnacentral:rRNA from 1 species